UACAGAGGAGCCAAGCGUUGUCCGGAUUGACUGGGCGUAAAGCGCACGCAGGCGGAUGCGCGCGUGGGGUGUGAAAUCUGGCCGCUUAACGGCCAGGCGCCAUCCCAUACGGCGCGUCUGGAGCUAUGCAGAGGUCGGUGGAAUUGCCGGUGUAGUGGUGAAAUGCGUAGAGAUCGGCAGGAACACCCAGGGGGAAACCAGCCGACUGGGCAUAUGCUGACGCUGAGACGCGAAAGCGUGGGGAGCAAACAGG
rnacentral:rRNA from 1 species